GCCCCUGGUGGUUUAGUGGUAAGGCGCGGCGCUGCCACCGCCAAGACCCGGGUUCGAUUCCCGGUCAGGGCC